UUAAGACUGCUAGAAAAAGAAAAGUUAGACAAAGAUGACAUGGUAGAGCUUCUAGGCAAGAGACCCUUUGCAGAGAAGUCAACCUAUGAGGAGUUUGUGGCUGGGACAGGCUCUUUUGAUGAAGAUACAACAUUGCCGAAAGGAUUGGAAAAUUGGAACAAGGAAAAAGAAAAGAAAGAUCCUGAAGCUGUUGAAUCUUAGUAGCUUGUAAAUGAGUGACUUUGUCAGUGCAUAUAUCAAUCUUUUAGUCUUGUUUGAUGAGAAUGGCACAAUGUGAGAGAUUUGUUUCACCUCAGUAUCAUGCCUCUUUUGUGUAGUUUUUUUUUAAUUUUUGGCAUCAGUUCUUUGUAAAGGUUUCAGUUGGUAACUUCAACAACUGAAUGUAAACAUGAAGUAAUUUAAAGGCAAGGGAUUACUUGGGCAGUGUCAAUCUUCCAUUAAGAAAAGUGAAUCCUUUGUUGAUGCUAAUAGAAAUAAUAAUAAUCUAUAUUAUCCUUGAGGAAAUUUGUCUUACAGUUGACCAUUACAUAAAACAAAAUAUUAUAAGAUCAAAUGAAUUACACACAAAAUAUAUGUUCAUGCCACAUAUCAAAGCUAAUAGGUUGUUGUUGUUUUUUUUAUAUGUAACUACUACUUCCUAAAACAUUGCAGUUGAAAAGAUGUGUGUUGGUAUACACAGAUUUUUAAAAAAUUUCUGAACUAAGCACAUGAAAUCAACUUUGAUUUGUCAAGUCUUUAGUAAAAAUAAACAUUUUGGCAUUUUACUUUUCAUUAGAGAGUUGACUGAACAGCACAAUAUAGAUCAUAUAGAAAAAGUUUUCAAAGGCAUUACCCUCCAUGUACUAUCUGUUGAAGCAAAGUCAAAGUUCUCUAUUUAAAAAUGAUGUGUUUCUAUGUUGUGUGGUACCGGUAGCAUAAGUCUGUUUCUCAGAGAGUGGCCAGAUUUUUAUAAUAUAUUUUUUAAAAAUUCUGUAACAAGUUUGUUGUCUUCAAGUUCAUUUAAGAAAUAUAUUUGGCUGUAUAUCUGUUAUGUGUGUGCAAGGAAGGGUUUUAGAUCAAAUGUAUCAUUAAAUAUGUUGCAGUUAUUCUCAUUAUGAUCAUGCAUCUUUUUUUUUUACGUGAUGUCAACAAAUCUUAGUGUAAAAGCCAAAAUAUUUUAAAUUUGUGUUGGCGUGUUGUUUGUGAUGUGCUUCUAUUGCGUCUUUCAUGUUGAAUUAAAACUGAGUUUCUAAACUGA
rnacentral:sRNA from 1 species